rnacentral:lncRNA from 1 species
AAAUAAUGUAAAAUGACUUCCUGUAAUUCUGAUAAAUUGUGUCUGCAGUUUCAACACCAACCACCACUGAACAUGCGACUACAACAGCCACGACAACCUAUGUCCAAUCCAAGACAAACCUGCCAACCAGCAAAGCAAAGGAAACCCUGACAGCGUUAACUGUAAGGUUCACUUCUGAAACAACAACAUACAGUAAAACUGUAGACUUUCAAUCUAAAUCAAACCUGCCAACCAGCACAGCAACGGAAACCAUGGUAUGGUUUAUAGUGCUGGUUUCCACUGGUGUUGCUGUCAUUUUGUCUGGACUCAUCUGUUUCUGCCGG